ACCUGGCGGUAAGGCGUUUCCUGUUUUCAGUGUUGCACUCCGUGUAGCUGUUUGGUGUUUGGGGCUCGCUAAAGCUGAUUUAAUUUCUCUGUACUUGGAUAUCUCUGAGUUAUUGUAGCACAAAAGCACGCUAAAACACACAUUUUCUGUUGUUCCACCUAGCUUUUAGGGAACCAUUUGAGUUUGCACGCAGUUUAUUUGGUACUGAACAGUUUGCUCGUCCAGUUAGCUUAGCCUCAGCACGGCUAUGGCUACUUCUGUCUCUGCUUCUCCGUCUCCUAUCUCUUGCUCUCUGUGUCAGAUGUUUAGUUACAGUCUAUGGUUACUCCUCUGCCUCCUUUAGUGAUAAUGGUACGUGUAAUAAAUGUAGCAUUUUUGUAGCUUUGGAGGCGAGGGUGUCGGAAUUGGAGUCCCGGCUCCGCGCUGUUGAAAAACCUGUAAACAGCCGUAGUUACUUAGCUAGCGCGGGGCUAACUAGCUCAGAACAACCACGUAGCGACCCUCCAGUGGAACCCGAGCAGCCGGAGUUCCGGGAAUUUCUCCUACCCCGUAAACCGUCCUACCCGUCGUUCCUGCGCAUGCGCACAACACAAAAGGGAAGCAAAGCGCAUCCGGCUGUGAUUUCAUGCUACUCCGUUCUUUGAUUUGCAGGAAAAUAGCUUUGGUUAAGUCUGCUGUGGUUACUGGACAUGUGGUAUUUGGACAACACCUCUGAAUCCGCAGCUUCGGUGUUUUAAGGCUGUUUCGAUAUGGAGAAGAAGUGGGAAGAGAUUUACACAUUCAUUUCUGCGGGCUCCUACCCUUCAGGAUAUGACAAGGCUCAGAGGCAAAACCUCAGAAUAUAUGCCUCAAAAUUCAAACAAAAGGAUGGAGAACUCUUUGUUGGAACCAGAAGAGUAGUAAAAACCAUGGAUGAUGCCAGGAAGAUUUUUCAUGAGUUUCAUUCAUCUCCAAUCGGAGGACACACUGGCACACACAAAACGCUAAAUGCAGUGUGUUCCAGAUUUUACUGGUUUGGUAUGACAGUUGACUUUAAAUUUCUUUUUCAGUUCUUUGUCCCUGUGUUCUGUUGGAUCUAUAAAUGUCAAAUAUAUGUAUCUAUAUAUUCAGUAAAUAUAUACUGUAACUAUAAUGGAGUGAGUUCAUUGUCAAAGUUUAUAUAGUCAGGUGUUCCAAUCACUUCAAUGGUGACAGCUGUAUAACUUAAGCACCUUGGCAUGCAGACUGCUUCUACAAACAAGUGCCAAACCAUGCUACCUUUGUUAUUAUAAACUA